rnacentral:ncRNA from 1 species
GCACGAAAAAGGCAACCCUCCGGAAACGGAGAGGACGCAAAGCUAUAGGGGCUAACGCUGUCAGGUGUAGACAGUCAUGCCAGCCAGCUGCCGUG